ensembl:lncRNA
CUACAAAAUCCUCUGUAGGUGUUCUUAAACCUUAAGCAGGUGUUCACCUCAGAUAAAAUGCAGCCUGGUUAAAAAAUACCUAAUCAUUCAAUUCACAGGCUCCUCCACAAAACUGCAAAGCUUUAACCCUCUUCAUUUUUCUCAGCAACCUGUUACGAGCGUUCCCUUGGCGGGGCUGUGUUAUUAACUCCCCUCUCCCCCAAAUCUAAGCAGUCAAGUAGAAUUUCGAAGGUUUGUGUGCUAUACAAAAACACCAAAAUGCAAAUAUCGCUCCCAGCUGCCUGUUCAAGUCCAAAAAGUACGUUGGUAGUCACGUCGGGCUUUUUUGCUACCCCAUGGACUGCAGCCCGCCAGGCUCCUCUGUCCAUGGGAUUCUCCAGGAAAGAGUACUAGAGUGGGUUGCCAGUUCCUUCUCCAGGGGAUCUAUCUACCUGACCCGGGGAUCCAACCUGGGUCUCCUGGACUGCAAACGGAUUCUUUACCGUCUGAGCCACCACAGAAGCCCCACUGUUAAUUGUACAGUCGUAUCCGACUCUUUGCGACUCCAUGGACUGUAGCCCACCAGACUCCUCUGUCCAUGGAAUUCUCCAAGCAUGAAUACUGGAGUGUGUUGCCGUUUCCUUCUCCAGAACAGAAGCCCCAACCCCACUCAAAUUCAGCUCUUAAGUUUCAGCCGUUGCUCCCAAAGUGAAGGAAAAAAAUAGCAGCAGCCCCGAGGCGCGCCGUUUUAGCAAUAGUCCACUUUUGAACAAAGGAGGAAAGAACAGAGUUUAAAGGAAAAGACGGGGAUUUUAAGAAUGGUUAGACUGGUGGAGAAAGAAGAAAGAUCAGAGACCUGAGAGCCAAGGCGCGAUGGGUGCUCAGAGGAGGAACCUGCGGGUGCCAAUGCGUCCCCGCAGCCCCGACACCACCCAGACCUUGAGCCCCCGUCGCGUAGCCCGCGCUUUGCAAGUUUCGCGCGACACGUGCUGCGCCCCAGAGACCGGGUCCCGGAGGUGGGGAGCCGCCCAUCGCCCCCACCUCGCGCCUGCUCCGUGCUUCUCUCCGCUCAGCCAGCCCUCGCUCCUCUCCGGCUCUUUCAGCAGCUGCUCGGGUGGAUUCUGUUCCCUCCGGCAACGCCCUCUCUCUCCCUGGGUUAAUUAAGUGAUGGUCGCCAAGGAAAUGGCAAGUAGGGGGGAGGGGGAAAGGAGUGGGAAGUGAGUCCCUCAAAUCAGCGAUUUUUGAAGGAGACUUACACUACGUAGAAGAAGGGAGUAAAGGAUAGGGCGGUGAAGGAGAACAUGAAUUGGCCUCUUAGGAAAAACAAGUCGACUGGCCUUGACUGUGAAAAAAAAAUCCCAGUUUUAAGUUCAUCCUUGGGCUUCGUAUGAAGCCACCUUCCUUCAUUGUUAACAGCUGUGUGGGCUGUUUGCUUGUUUGGUUUUUGCAGUGUUUGACAAUGUUGCUGGAGCCCUUCCUCUAUCCUCAGGUCUUCUCAGUUAGCUUUCCUGACAUCACUCUCUCCUGGUUCCUCUAUCAUCUUAGCCAAGUCACCCUUGACAUUGGCAACUUAAAAAUUGUUUUGACUCAUGAUGUCUUCGGGCUUCCCUGGUGGCUCAGAUGGUAAAGAAUCUGCCCACAAUGUGGGAGAUCUGGGUUCCAUCCCUAGGUGGAGAAGAUCCCCUGGAGAAGGGAAUAGUUACCCACUCCAGUAUUCUUGCCUGGAACAUCCCAGGGACAGAGGAGCCUGGCGGCCUAGGGUCCAUAGGGUUGCGAAGAGUCCAGCUCGAAAGUGACUAAAACACAACAAGAUGCAUUUGUUACUACUAGGGUCCUUAAACUCUAUGAUUGUCACCAGCCAGGGUUCUUGGACUUCUUAAUCAGUAAAAACUGAUAAAAAGCCAGAUAAGAAAUUCAGACAAGGCUUUAUUGGCACCUGGGUUGCAACAGGAGGGAGCGAAAACAAGUAACAGGUGUCCUUGCUUGCUCCCUCCCUAAGUCAGGCGAGCUGGUUCCCUACAUGGGGUGAGGGUCUGGGGUCAGGACAGGGUGGCUUAGGUGGUCUGCUCCUCCCUUUGCUGGGUGCAUAUGUAGUGCCCUGGGGAUGCCCUGCUUUUGCUCCUGAGUCCUCAGAAGUGGAAUUGUGUGUGUGUACACCUUGUUCUUUAUGUUUUUUCCCAACUGCACAUGCACGUGGUUAUUUUUAGGUCCUUAUGAGUUUUUUUUUUUGUAUUUUGUUGCACAACGAGACAUUUGUCCAUGUGCAAGCACUGCAGCAAAGGGUCUCAGGUCCCAGAUUUCCGGUCCCAGCCUGUCUCCUAAUCAGAAAUUGUUAAGAGGCCAGAUGAAGAAUUCAGACAUGGCUUUACUGGGACUCUUGCUGCACCUGGAAGAAGUGAGAGCAAGAAACAGGUGCCCUUGCCCAUUCCUGGAGGGGGAGUGGGAAGAGUCGGUUUCAUAAAAGGAGCCCUGCCAAUAUUGUACCUCAGUCUUCAAGGAACACAGAACCAAAGACUUCGAGAAGAUCUGUCUACUCACAAACAUAACAGCUAUGGAAAGUCACUAAUUAAAAACUAGGUGUAUUCUUUACUGCUGAACCAUCGGGAGUGCUGCUGCUGCUACUAAGUCACUUCAGUCAUGUCCAACUCUGUGCGACCCCAUAGACGGAAGCCCACCAGGCUCCCCCGUCCCUGGGAUUCUCCAGGCAAGAACACUGGAGUGGGUUGCCAUUUCCUUCUCCAGUGCAUGAAAGUGAAAAGUGAAAGUGAAGUCGCUCAGUCCUGUCUGACUUUUAGCGACCCCAUGGACUGCAGCCUACCAGGCUCCUCUGCCCAUGGGAUUUUCCAGGCAAGAGUACUGGAGUGGGGUGCCAUUGCCUUCUCCGGCCACCAGGAGUUACCUCUGGCCAAAUUCACUUAACAACUUCAUCUCUUUCCACUCCUCCUUGGCAUCCUAAUUUAUACCCUCAAUGAAAUAACAGGCCAUAAACCUUUGCAUCUGUGUUUUCCUAUAGAACUUUGUUUAUACUUUAACAUAAACGUUUCCUUUUUAUGUAUUCAUGUUCUUAGCCAGAUUAGGAACUUCAUGAUGACACAGACUAUGUCUUAAUUCAGGCAGUUAUAAAUGUGAACUAUACUUAUAUUGUUUUAAUUCCUGGGGGCCCUACAUAUAUUUAGUCUCUAAAAGUGGAACGUGUCAAGGCAAUAUAUAACAAAAGGAUUCCCUUGCCAAUGAGUUAGCUUUUAGUCUUUGAGAAAUAUGAUCAAAUUAAAAAGCCAUCAAGGACAUUAACUAAACUUGUGGUAAUCACCUCACAGUAUAUGCAUAUAUCAAAUCAUUGUGCUGCGCAUCUUAAACUUAUACAGUUUAAGUUUAAACUUAUAAGUCUUGGGGGAUAGAAAAAUCAGGAAAUUGCUAAAAAUACAUAAAAACCCAUCAAGUGAAUUAAAUAAAGUGUAUAUAUUUCAAUAUUUUUUUUGUCACACAUUUGCUAGGCAAACAAUUGCAUUUUAAAUAAGCAGCCAUCAAAAACACCAUCGCCUUUUGUAGCUACAUCAGUCUCUCCACUAGGUCUUUGACUAUGUGGAUCACCACAAACUGUGGAAGAUUCCUAAACAGAUGGGAAUACUAGACCUCCUCACCUGCCUCCUGAGAAACCUGUAUGCAGGUAAAGAAGCAGCAGUUAGAACCAUACAUGGAACAACAGACUGAUUCAAAAUUGGGAAAGGAGUACAUAAAGGCUAUAUAUUGUCACCCUGCUUAUUUAAUUUAUAUGCAGAGCACAUCAUGCAAAAUGCUAGGUUGGAUGAAGCACAAGCUGGAAUCAAGAUUGCCAGGAGAAAUAUCAAUUACCUCAGAUAUGCAGAUGACACCACCCUUAUGGCAGAAAGCAAAGAGGAAUGAAAUAGCCUCUUGAUGAAGGUGAAAGAGCAGAGUGAAAAAGCUGGCUUAAAACUCAACACUCAAAAAACUAAGAUCAUGGCAUCCAGUCC